rnacentral:lncRNA from 1 species
UUAAGAAGUGUAAAAUAGUAAGGCAAGACUGAGCUAUAAGGGUGUAAUAUGGAGACAAUACGGUUGCGGAUUAUUAUAUAUAGUGAGAGAUUAUAUCACCAAAUGGAGGCGAAACGUCACCAGGAGAGCAAGUUGUAGUAGGCAAAAUAGAUAGCAAAUCACAGAGCUUAAUUGUAAGAAAUUAUAGCAUGUUAUCAUGUAGUAAUAUGACUAUAUAAUAAAAAAAAUAAAAAUAUGGAUGUUAUUAUAGAAGAGCCUAGCAAAAUGAUGUAGUAAAAAAAUAAAAAUAAAUGAUAGAAAAGUAGUAAAAGAUUUAAUUUCAAUGCUAUCUUUUUAUAGAAGGAACUUAUAUUUAUUUUAUACAGAUAUAAUAA